CUCUACCUCUGAGCUAAGUGGGC
rnacentral:tRNA from 1 species